UGCCAGCAGCCGCGGUAACACGGGGGGCGCAAGCGUUAUUCGGAAUUAUUGGGCGUAAAGGGUACGUAGGCGGUUUGGUCAGUUAGAUGUGAAAGCCCAGGGCUCAACCUUGGAACUGCAUUUAAUACUGCCAGACUUGAGAUCGGAAGAGGAAAGCGGAAUUUCUAGUGUAGAGGUGAAAUUCGUAGAUAUUAGAAGGAACAUCAGAGGCGAAGGCGGCUUUCUGGUCCGAUACUGACGCUGAUGCACGAAAGCGUGGGUAGCAAACAGGAUUAGAUA
rnacentral:rRNA from 1 species